rnacentral:rRNA from 1 species
CCUACGGGAGGCAGCAGUGAGGAAUAUUGGUCAAUGGACGGAAGCCUGAACCAGCCAAGUCGCGUGAGGGAAGACGGUCCUAUGGAUUGUAAACCUCUUUUGUCGGGGGGCAAACGCCGCAACGCGUGGCGGUCCGAGAGUACCGGAAGAAAAAGCAUCGGCUAACUCCGUGCCAGCAGCCGCGGUAAUACGGAGGUUGCAAGCGUUAUCCGGAUUUAUUGGGUUUAAAGGGUGCGCAGGCGGAGGAUCAAGUCAGGGGGAAAAUUGAGAGGCUCAACCUCUUCGAGCCGUUGAAACUGGUUGUCUUGAGUGAGUGAGAAGUAGGCGGAAUGCGUGGUGUAGCGGUGAAAUGCAUAGAUAUCACGCAGAACUCCGAUUGCGAAGGCAGCAUACCGGCGCUCAACUGACGCUCAGGCACGAAAGUGUGGGUAGCGAACAGGAUUAGAUACCCCAGUAGUC